AUACCCGUAGCUCAACUGGCAGAGCGUCCGUCUCCAAAACGGAAGGUUGCGGGUUCGAGUCCCGCCGGGUAUGCCA
rnacentral:tRNA from 1 species